AUUGAAAAAGUGGGGUGAUAGAUCAGAAAAAUCCCAGAUUGAAAAUGCCGCCAUAGAAAUCAAUGAAAAUCCUAGACACUUUAUGUGAACGCUUGCCUGAUGAACAACUUCCAGGGAACACAUUGUGUUUGAGCACCCUUCACCCCAGAAGAUUCCAUCAUGUGCAUGAUUUGCAUGCAAGCCUGUUGCAUGUUGAGGAGCAUGUUAUCAUCGUUUAUGAAAGACACCAAUCAAAGUAUAUUUUUUUUAUCAGAAUUGCAAGGCAGAAUCAUGGGGAAAGGUUAUUUGGGACACAACAUACAACAAUAGAUCUGGACUGCUUUGUAGAUUGAAGCUUCCCAUUAAAAAUAUACCCUUAAACUGGUUAUAGAUA